CAGGAGGCAGAUGCUGAGCUCCAGAGAGUUAUUUGCGUCUCACAUCUGGUGGCCUUCCCUUGGUUAGCUCACCCUCUGUCUCUCCUGUGCUUGGAUCCUGGCUGCGGUUCUCAGCACCAGAACCUUCAGGCCCCUCUGUUCCCGCACCUCAGAGAAAAUUCCUCUGUGGCUCCCGACCCCACCCAUGAACAUGAAGAGGACAAGUGAUGCGCUUGUGUUCAGUCAAUGAUCGCUUUACCCUCCAAGCGACAGAAGGACAGCUCAUCAGUGCUGGUCCCAACAACGGAAAGACAAACAAACAACA